rnacentral:rRNA from 1 species
CCUACGGGUGGCUGCAGUGGGGGAUAUUGCACAAUGGGGGAAACCCUGAUGCAGCGACGCCGCGUGUGGGAAGACGGUCCUCUGGAUUGUACACCACUGUCCCCAGGGACGAAGAUGACGGUACCUGGGGAGGAAGCUCCGGCUAACUACGUGCCAGCAGCCGCGGUAAUAGGUAGGGAGCAAGCGUUGUCCGGAAUUACUGGGUGUAAAGGGAGCGUAGGCUGGAUGGCAAGUUGGGUGUUCAAUCUACCGGCUCAACUGGUAGUCGCACUCAAAACUGCUAUUCUUGAGUGAAGUAGAGGCAGGCGGAAUGCCUAGUGUAGCGGUGAAAUGCGUAGAGAUUAGGAGGAACACCAGUGGCGAAGGCGGCCUGCUGGGCUUUUACUGACGCUGAGGCUCGAAAGUGUGGGGAGCAAACAGGAUUAGAUACCCUAGUAGUC